rnacentral:rRNA from 1 species
CAUAACCUUUAGCUAAACCAGUAUUAAAGGCAACGCCUGCCCAGUGAAUAAUUAAACGGCCGCGGUACCCUAACCGUGCAAAGGUAGCGUAAUCAUUUGUCUAUUAAUUGUAGACCUGUAUGAAAGGCAUAAUGAGGGUUUAACUGUCUCUUUUAGUAAAUCAAUUAAACUGAUCUCCUAGUCCAAAAGCUAGGAUACCAACAUAAGACCAGAAGACCCUGUGAAACUUUAACUAAAAUAUUAAAGCCUAUAAUAACUACUUUAGGUUGGGGCGACCUUGGAAAAUAAAAAAACUUCCAUACACAUAUUAUACAAUAAUAUACCACCGGCCAACAAGCCUACAAUGACCCAGCACAGCUGAUAAUUGAACCAAGCUACUCCAGGGAUAACAGCGCUAUCUUCUUCAAGAGCCCAUAUCAAAAAGAAGGUUUACGACCUCGAUGUUGGAUCAGGACAUCCUAAUGGUGCAACCGCUAUUAAGGGUUCGUUUGUUCAACGAUUAACAGUCCUACGUGAUCUG